rnacentral:rRNA from 1 species
GACGUAGGUGGCGAACGUUAUCCGGAAUUAUUGGGCGUAAAGGGUGCGUAGGUGGCCUGACAAGUUAUCAGUGGCAAAUCGAGGCUCAACCUCGUGGAAACUGGUAAUACUGUUCGGCUUGAGUACAGGAGAGGUUAACGGAACUCUAUGUGGAGCGGUAAAAUGCACAGAUAUAUAGAAGAACAUCAAUAAAGGCGAAAAGCAGUUAACUAUUCUGUUUAACUGACGCUGAGGCACGAAAGCGUGGGGAGCAAAAACGG